rnacentral:rRNA from 1 species
AACGAACGCUGGCGGCGUGGAUAAGACAUGCAAGUCGAACGGGAUUACUUUUGUAGCAAUACAAAAGUAGUUCAGUGGCGCAAGGGUGCGUAACACGUGGGCAAUCUGCCGAGAUGUGGGGGAUAGCUCGCCGAAAGGCGAAUUAAUACCGCAUGUGAUUAGGGAAGACAUCUUUCCGACAUCAAAGCCGGGGCAACCUGGCGCAUCUUGAUGAGCCCGCGGCCUAUCAGCUAGUUGGCGAGGUAAUGGCUCACCAAGGCUAUGACGGGUAGCUGGUCUGAGAGGACGACCAGUCACACUGGAACUGAGACACGGUCCAGACACC